rnacentral:tRNA from 1 species
GGGGAUGUAGUUUAACGGUAAAAUGGCGAUCUUGUCACUUCGCGGAUCGGGGUUCAACUCCCCGCAUUUCCACCA